rnacentral:misc_RNA from 1 species
GUGGGAGGGGGCUUGCCCCCGAUGGCGUUGGGUCAGUCACAGAUGUGUUGGCUGACACUACCUCAUCGGGGGCAAGCCCCCUCCCAC